AACGAACGCUGGCGGCAGGCUUAACACAUGCAAGUCGAGCGCCCCGCAAGGGGAGCGGCAGACGGGUGAGUAACGCGUGGGAACCUACCCAUCUCUACGGAAUAACGCAUGGAAACGUGUGCUAAUACCGUAUACGUCCUUCGGGAGAAAGAUUUAUCGGAGAUGGAUGAGCCCGCGUUGGAUUAGCUAGUUGGUAGGGUAAAGGCCUACCAAGGCGACGAUCCAUAGCUGGUCUGAGAGGAUGAUCAGCCACACUGGGACUGAGACACGGCCCAGACUCCUACGGGAGGCAGCAGUGGGGAAUAUUGGACAAUGGGCGCAAGCCUGAUCCAGCCAUGCCGCGUGAGUGAUGAAGGCCCUAGGGUUGUAAAGCUCUUUCACCGGUGAAGAUAAUGACGGUAACCGGAGAAGAAGCCCCGGCUAACUUCGUGCCAGCAGCCGCCGUAAGAC
rnacentral:rRNA from 1 species